rnacentral:rRNA from 1 species
UGUUUCCAUUAAUCAAGAACGAAAGUUAAGAGGUUCGAAGGCGAUCAGAUACCGCCCUAGUUCUAUCCAUAAACGAUGCCAGCCAGCGAUCAGGCUGUGUUCCUCAAAUGACACGCCUGGCAGCUUCCGGGAAACCAAAGCUUUUGGGUUCCGGGGGAAGUAUGGUUGCAAAGCUGAAACUUAAAGGAAUUGACGGAAGGGCACCACAAGCAAUGGAUCUUGCGGCUUAAUUUGACUCAACACUGGAAAACUUACCCGGCCCGGACACAGGAAGGAUUGACAGAUUAAGAGCUCUUUCUUGAUUCUGCGGGUUGUGGUGCAUGGCCGUUCUUAGUUGGUGGAGCGAUUUGUCUGCUCAAUUGCGUUAACGAGCGAGACUCUAGCCUACUAAAUAGACGUUCCGAUCUUUGUAGUCGGACGGUCUUCUUAGAGGGACAAGCGGUUUCUAGCCGCACGAGACUGAGCAAUAACAGGUCAGGCAUGCCCCUCGAUGUUCGGGGCCGCACGCGUGAUACAUUGAAGGAAUCAGCGUGUGCUUCCCCUGUCCGAAAGGACUGGGUAACCCGUUGAACCUCCUUCGUGCUGGGGAUUGAAAAUUGUAACUGUUUUUCAUGAACGAGGAAUUCCUAGUAAGCACGAGUCAUUAGCUCGUGUUGAUUACGUCCCUGCCCUUUGUCCACACCGCCCGUCGCUACAACCGAUUGAAUUAUUUAGUGAGGUCUUCGGACUGGCGCUCGGAUUGGCCUUCGGGUCGAGCCGGCGUGCCGGAAAGAUAACCGAACUUGGUAAUUUAGAGGAUGUUAAAGUCGUAACAAGGUUCC